ACAGCAGUCGCCGCGGUAAUACGAAGGGUGCAAGCGUUACUCGGAAUUACUGGGCGUAAAGCGUGCGUAGGUGGUGGUUUAAGUCCGUUGUGAAAGCCCUGGGCUCAACCUGGGAAUUGCAGUGGAUACUGGAUCACUAGAGUGUGGUAGAGGAUAGUGGAAUUUCCGGUGUAGCAGUGAAAUGCGUAGAGAUCGGAAGGAACAUCUGUGGCGAAGGCGACUAUCUGGGCCAACACUGACACUGAGGCACGAAAGCGUGGGGAGCAAACAGGAUUAGAUACCCCAGUAGUCCCUGUCUCUUAUAC
rnacentral:rRNA from 1 species